rnacentral:rRNA from 1 species
GACGAACGCUCGUUGCGUGCUUAACACAUGCAAGUCGAACGGAAAGGCCCUGCUUUUGUGGGGUGCUCGAGUGGCGAACGGGUGAGUAACACGUGAGUAACCUGCCCUUGACUUUGGGAUAACUUCAGGAAACUGGGGCUAAUACCGGAUAGGAGCUCCUGCUGCAUGGUGGGGGUUGGAAAGUUUCGGCGGUUGGGGAUGGACUCGCGGCUUAUCAGCUUGUUGGUGGGGUAGUGGCUUACCAAGGCUUUGACGGGUAGCCGGCCUGAGAGGGUGACCGGCCACGUUGGGACUGAGAUACGGCCCAGACUCCUACGGGAGGCAGCAGUGGGGAAUAUUGCACAAUGGGCGGAAGCCUGAUGCAGCAACGCCGCGUGCGGGAUGACGGCCUUCGGGUUGUAAACCGCUUUCGCCUGUGACGAAGCGUGAGUGACGGUAAUGGGUAAAGAAGCACCGGCUAACUACGUGCCAGCAGCCGCGGUGAUACGUAGGGUGCGAGCGUUGUCCGGAUUUAUUGGGCGUAAAGGGCUCGUAGGUGGUUGAUCGCGUCGGAAGUGUAAUCUUGGGGCUUAACCCUGAGCGUGCUUUCGAUACGGGUUGACUUGAGGAAGGUAGGGGAGAAUGGAAUUCCUGGUGGAGCGGUGGAAUGCGCAGAUAUCAGGAGGAACACCAGUAGCGAAGGCGGUUUUCUGGGCCUUUCCUGACGCUGAGGAGCGAAAGCGUGGGGAGCGAACAGGCUUAGAUACCCUGGUAGUCCACGCUGUAAACGGUGGGUACUAGGUGUGGGGUCCAUUCCACGGGUUCCGUGCCGUAGCUAACGCUUUAAGUACCCCGCCUGGGGAGUACGGCCGCAAGGCUAAAACUCAAAGGAAUUGACGGGGCCCCGCACAAGCGGCGGAGCAUGCGGAUUAAUUCGAUGCAACGCGUAGAACCUUACCUGGGUUUGACAUGGAUCGGGAGUGCUCAGAGAUGGGUGUGCCUCUUUUGGGGUCGGUUCACAGGUGGUGCAUGCCUGUCGUCAGCUCGUGUCGUGAGAUGUUGGGUUAAGUCCCGCAACGAGCGCAACCCUUGUUCACUGUUGCCAGCACGUUAUGGUGGGGACUCAGUGGAGACCGCCGGGGUCAACUCGGAGGAAGGUGGGGAUGACGUCAAGUCCUCAUGCCCCUUAUGUCCAGGGCUUCACGCAUGCUACAAUGGCUGGUACAGAGAGUGGCGAGCCUGUGAGGGUGAGCGAAUCUCGGAAAGCCGGUCUCAGUUCGGAUUGGGGUCUGCAACUCGACCUCAUGAAGUCGGAGUCGCUAGUAAUCGCAGAUCAGCAACGCUGCGGUGAAUACGUUCCCGGGGCU